GACGGCGAAGGCGGGCGGGGGGACCAGCUCGGCGGCAGCGGCGGCUUCUCUCAUCCGUGCACGGGGCCUCGCAUGGCCGCGGCGGGCGGGCAGAAAAGAACAUUGAUCUAACCUCGCCUCCGUAUCACAAGGUGGUUUUGAUCUUCCGGAAACCCGAGCGGGAGUGCUGCUACGGUGUGGAGAAAAGAAUUCUACAGAUUUCUUCAGAGUUACAGCAGUACUCUGAAAUUCCAGUGCAUCCUGUGCCCUUGGAGAGGACUUGGGGCUUCACAGUUUUAAGUUGCACAAAACUUCCCACAGGGUGAAGUCCAGAGUAAAUUCAAAAUCAGCAUCUUUUACAAUUAAGUAGAUUUCUGUUCAUUCAAA